AUAAACAUGAUGUAUACAUACUUUGAUUGAUAAAUCCAUGAUAGUAAAUCAAUUAUCGAGCUUUUUAACACUGAAUAUU